rnacentral:rRNA from 1 species
CAGCGGCCACGGUAAGACAGAGGAUGCAAGCGUUAUCCGGAAUGAUUGGGCGUAAAGCGUCUGUAGGUGGCUUUUCAAGUCCGCCGUCAAAUCCCCGGGCUCAACCCUGGACAGGCAGUGGAAACUACCAAGCUGGAGUACGGUAGGGGCAGAGGGAAUUUCCGGUGUAGCGGUGAAAUGCGUAGAUAUCGGAAGGAACACCUGUGGCGAAAGCGGCUCACUGGACCAUUUCUGACGCUGAUGCACGAAAGCUAGGGGAGCAAACAGGAUUAGAUACCCCGGUAGUCCCUGUCUCUUAUAA